rnacentral:rRNA from 1 species
AUUGAACGCUGGCGGCAGGCUUAACACAUGCAAGUCGAGCGGAGAUGAGGUGCUUGCACCUUAUCUUAGCGGCGGACGGGUGAGUAAUGCUUAGGAAUCUGCCUAUUAGUGGGGGACAACAUUCCGAAAGGAAUGCUAAUACCGCAUACGUCCUACGGGAGAAAGCAGGGGAUCUUCGGACCUUGCGCUAAUAGAUGAGCCUAAGUCGGAUUAGCUAGUUGGUGGGGUAAAGGCCUACCAAGGCGACGAUCUGUAGCGGGUCUGAGAGGAUGAGCCGCCGCACUGGGACUGAGACCCGGCCCAGACUCCUACGGGAGGCAGCAGUGGGGAAUAUUGGACAAUGGGGGGAACCCUGAUCCAGCCAUGCCGCGUGUGUGAAGAAGGCCUUAUGGUUGUAAAGCACUUUAAGCGAGGAGGAGCCUACUGAGACUAAUACUCUUGGAUAGUGGACGUUACUCGCAGAAUAAGCACCGGCUAACUCUGUGCCAGCAGCCGCCGUAAGAC